UUUGGACAGGAAAGUUCCAGGCUUCAGCUCCCAGAAACCACCUUCCUUCAUGUGGAGGGACGCAGCCUCAUAAGGGGUGGAGUGUGGUGGUGCCAUCAUGGUUCACUGCAGCCUUGACCUCCAGGGCUCAAAUGAUCCUCCCGUCUCGGCCUCCCAAAGUGCUGGGAUUGCAGAUGUGAGCCACUGCACCUGGCAAGAAACUUUUCCAUUGAAACACAAUGCUCUGAAAGGUUUGCUGCAGUUAACGCGUUCCUUGUAUUCAGCAAGGGCGGUAUAUCUGCAGUGUCUUCUUCCUGGGCCCACACUCUGUGAAGGUCAAUCUCAUACUCAACCCAGUGUGCUGAGAAACAGGAGAGUGACUGAUACAAACAACUUAUUUGAGCAUAUUUACCUGAAACAGUAUUUAAAAAACUGAGCAUAUCUUAUGACAAGAAUCUCAUGCUUUAAAACUCUAAACUAUAUCCCUAUGCAAAUUACUGACAAUAUACGUUUUAACAUCAGCAUUGUACUUUCAACCUUAGGUCUAGGGUUACCAAGUUCUGUGGCACUGCUUUGAUACCUUAUAGUUUCCAGUUCUAGUUUACAAACAUAACAUGCCUUUAUAGUUCUCAGCGCUCCUUAAAUAUGUGGAUUGGAAUUCUAAUUCCUUUAAAUUUCAUGUUGAGUUCUCAGUUUCUCUGCAGCUACUAUAGCUGCUCUGAGUUGAUGUAAUUCAAAGUCUCUUUAAAAGAAGCUAGGGCAUUUCUCUGUUAUGCAAUUCCUUCUGUUGCAUUGGAGAAACACCGAGUAAUGCAGCCACGUUGGGAAAUGCUGUCAUUCCCAAAUCUAAGUAUCCUUUAAUGGGACCUACUGAAAAAAGAAGAAGAAGAAGAAGAAAUGCCAGUACCUUUCUUCCACUAAAUUGCUUUGAACACAUGCUGCUGCUGUUGUUGAACUCACUGCUUUUAAGUAUACGAAUAUUAAGUUUCCGAGCUGUGGGCAGGAAGACCCCCCUGAUGACUUACAAUCCCUCUCAGAUCCCAUGACCCUACUGCCUCCACCAUCAGAUCCCACAGCAGCGGACUUCGGGGAUGCCGUGAGAUCCAGGGGUGCCUGGGAACGGUUUGCCUCUCCCUCUGUGCCUUGCCCAGCCCUGCGGCCCACGCGUGUGCGUGUAGCACAGUUUGUUCUUCUAAGGACACGUUCCAGAAUUACUGGAGUCUCCUGAAUGCUGAGAUGAAUAGACUGGGUGAGCUUUAGGUGCUGCACCUGUCCUUCAAAAUGAAACUGAACGGAGGCCCGCAGAGUCUCCCCGGGAAAUAGGGACUGAGGAUGCGUUCCAUCUGGGUUAUGCUUUCACCCCUGCAGCCCCUAGUCUGCCCCCCUGUCCUCAGAAACAGCUCAGUCCUUUCGGUGAAAUCGGUGAAAUCGGUGGUUCUCAUCUUCUAUUUCUUGAACACACGUCUUGUUUCCACCCAUCGGUUAUGGUUGGAGAAGCAUUUCAAGAAAACACCUGUUAGGGCUUUUUGUGUGUGUUAAGCCGCUGUGCUGGUGUGCUUUAGAAUCAUCCAGAAGGUUUGUUAAAACCAGAGUGCUGGGUCUCCUCCCUGGAGUUUCUGUGUGUGCAGGUCUGGAAUAGAGCUCAAGAAUCUGCGUUUCUAACAUGUUCUGAGCUGCUGGUCCCAGUACUACGCUCAGCCAACCAGCCCUCCAGACUUAUAUGCAAUGAGCCAUGUGGCUUUACACGGUAUCUUGAUGAAGAAAAUGUUAUGUAAAUCAUGCUCUAAAACAACGAUUGGAUUUCAGUGCAAUUACAGAAAACCUUUUCAUCAAGAUGUGUAUGAAUGAAAUACUGAUUUUAACAGGCUGCCCAUUUUCAACAGCAUAAAAUUACGCAUUCAAAACCACGAUGAGCCCCUUAAAUUUUAGGAUUGAGUUUCAGUUCCUCACUGACAUUUUGUGAAAAAUAACACCCGCAAGAGGCCUAAACAGGGCGACCGGAACCAAGAAAACUUAAGGAAGUAUUUGCACGUUUUGAUGUGUUUAUUUAUUUGGGAUGCGCGUAGGCUCUGAAUGGAGAAAGUCGUCGAUGCCUGCACUGGUCUUGGCCUGUUCUUUAUGUUCCGCGCGGUGACAGCUUUAAGAUGAAGGAGGAACAUAAAGGGUUUCAUCACAGGAAAUAGAACUAUUGCUUUAUUCAAACAUUUAAAAAAUAAAUACAAUAAAUCAGGGAUUUUUCCCCUUUCCGAGUAUUAAAUACAGAUGUAUUGUAUGCAUAUGAAAUUUUUGAUUAAAAUGUCUUUCACCAGUCUGUCUCUUUAAUUAAAUAAAGCCUGUUUGGUAUU
rnacentral:lncRNA from 1 species